rnacentral:lncRNA from 14 species
GGCUCAGAUUCCUGUCAGCGGCGGCGGCGGUGGCGGCGGCCGUCAGUGUUCGCUGAGGAGAAGCCCGAAACGGACCCGUUGGCUCUCCCUCUCCCCUUCCCCGUCCGAACCUUCUUCUCUCUGGACUCACCGAGAGUCAGUUUUCCACUCCACAGAGCUGUUCUCCACUCCGAAGCCCUUCUCGUCGCUCGGCCGGGUGGGAAGUGACUGCCCUCGAGGAGGAGGAGGAGGCAGCGGCUGCCGCCCUCGUCUCACCGCCCCCGGUUCGGUGCCCGCGGAUCCCGGAGAGGAGGUGCCGCCGCCACCGCCGCUCCCCCCCUCCCGCUGCCCUCGGGCCGGGCUGGGUCGAGCUGCGAUGCCCUCGGACUUCAUCUCAUUGCUCAGCGCGGACCUAGACCUGGAAUCGCCCAAGUCCCUGUACUCGCGAGAUUCUCUGAAGUUACACCCAUCACAGAAUUUUCAUAGAGCUGGACUAUUGGAAGAAUCUGUCUAUGAUCUUCUCCCAAAGGAGUUACAGUUACCUCCACCUAGAGAAACAUCUGCAGCAUCAAUGAGUCAGACAAGCGGUGGCGAGGCAGGCUCGCCUCCUCCAGCUGUAGUUGCUGCCGGUAUGCAUUUCAUUUUACUUAUUAAUGAAAACUAGGGAACUCUCUGGCCAACAUGAACAGUCUUGGCAAAGUUCAUAUCAAAAAGAGUAUGAUUUGAGGAUUUAAAGAUUUUACCCUUUACAUUGAAAGGUUUUCAGUGUUUUUUUAAAAAUAUACAUACGUGCAUGCACACAUACACAUCUUACAUUUUGGUCCAUUUGUAAAUGCUAUCUCCUAAAGUGGACCUUGUGUUCAAAUAUGGGACCCAGUUUAAAGUGACCUUGUUGAGUGCACAUAAAAAAAGAUAAUAAACACCAAGCUAUGGCUAGAAAAUUAUAUUGACCUUUUAUUUAACAAUUUUUAAAAGAAUUAUUUACUUAUUUUAUGUAUGUGAGUACACUGUCACUGUCUUCAGACACACCAAAAGAAGACAUCAGAUCCCAUUACAGAUGGUUAUGAGCCACCAUGUGGUUGCUGGGAAUUGAACUCAGGACGUCAGGAAGAGUAGUCAGUGCUCUUAACUGAUAUUUCACCAGCCCUUAACAAAUAUUUUUAAAGACUUGCCCAAAGGGAAAAAUGUUACAUGAUCUAAAAAAAGGACUCAAGUUCUUAAGUCUCCUUUCUCUUUAUCGCAUGUAACUAUAGCCUUUCUCCUACAAUUAAAAAAAACUCUGGCACAGUCAGAGUUACAUAGUGAUGUGAUAUAUAUAUCAUACAUAUAUACACAUAUAUACAUACAUAUAUACACACCCAUACAUACACA